rnacentral:rRNA from 1 species
CUAAGAAUAUUCCGCAAUGGACGAAAGUCUGACGGAGCGACGCCGCGUGGAUGAGGAAGGCCGGAAGGUUGUAAAAUCCUUUUGGGACUGAAGAAUAAGUGGUGCAGGGAAUGGCAUCGUGGUGACGGUAGGUCCUGAAUAAGCAACGGCUAAUUACGUGCCAGCAGCCGCGGUAACACGUAAGUUGCGAGCGUUGUUCGGAAUUAUUGGGCGUAAAGGGCAUGUAGGCGGCCCUGCAAGCUUGGUGUGAAAUCUAUGGGCUCAACCCCAUAGACUGCAUUGAGAACUACAGGGCUUGAGUCGCUGAGGCGGAAC